rnacentral:rRNA from 1 species
GACGAACCGUGCGAACGUUAUUCGGAAUCACUGGGCUUAAAGCGCGUGUAGGCGGGCCGGCACGGCGGAAGCUGAAAUCCCCCGGCUCAACCGGGGAACGGGCGCCGAUACGACCGCCCUCGAGGGACGUAGGGGGACCUGGAACUUCCGGUGGAGCGGUGAAAUGCGUUGAGAUCGGAAGGAACGCCCGUGGCGAAAGCGAGGUCCUGGACGUUUUCUGACGCUGAGACGCGAAAGCCAGGGGAGCGAACGGG